UUGUAUUUUUCAGAGUCAAUUAAAAAUUGUAAAUUUUACUUAUAAUUUUAAGGUAGGCAAAAUGCAAUGCGACCAACGACGACGGCGACGGCGACAAGCGAUGAAAAAAAAAAAAAAUUGCAAUUACAAUUUUUCGCGUCUUUGUCACGGCAACAUACACGGCGCGCGGCGUUAGGCAGUUCAGCAUUGCAGCCGGAAGACGGAGCGGACGGAGACGAAGGUUGGGCACCCGCUUGAUGGCGUCAAAUUUGGCGUUGAAUGAACCUCACCCCAAUCACACCACAAUGCCCCCUGUCCCCGACUUGAAGGAUGGGAUCUGAUAGUUGUCGCAGCAGAAGAUCGGGUGAACUGUUUGCGUGGCCCAUUGCAAGCACUAAGAUGCAUCCGUGCCGACAUGGAAGGGUAAUUGUGUUGAUUGAAGAUACAAAUGUACAUAUUCAAAUGCAUCUGUAGAUUGCUGUGAAUGGAAAUGUGCACAUCACACACGUGGGCUAUAUAUCAAAUAUUAAGGCAAGUGGAAACCAAGCGCACAGCAGGUCUUACGAAGGUCUAUUGCGGAGCAAACCCUAAAAGUUGCUAUAAGAUAAUACAUAUAUUCUUAAGUUGAAAUAAGUUGAACUGUUUUCCUAACGUUGAGCUUCAAUGGCCCGUUACCUAAGAAUACUUCAUAGUUACUGUCAUAAUAGUUUAAAUGUAAAAGGAUAGCUCCGCUGAUCGCUAGCAACCUUAAAAGUCCAUCUUUCAAUAGGCCCUCACUCUUGGAUCCUGGAUUCGAGGCAUUGAAUCAACAUGUGGACUUAUUUGCGGUGGACAUAUUUUGCAUUUGAUUUUAAUACACUUUAACGCAAUCAAUUUUA